AAUUCCAUAGUUAGCUGACUUUGACAAGGACCUUCAUUUGGACUUGAAUCGGCAAAAGCUGUAGGUUUUCAGCUUCAGAUGCUUUUUGGUCAGUUGGAGGCCCACGUGUCACUAUAAAAAAGCUGAUGCUAAGCCUUGCGGGGUUUCGAUCGGCAUUCGGGGUAAUGAGUACCUAUCAGGACGUAACGGUGGUUGUCAUGGGCCCGAUGAGAGUUCCGAGUCGUGACAUACAAUGCAUGGCAUUAACACUUGAAAUUUACUAUUGAAUGGCAAGUGAAAUUUACAUAUUCAUUGGUGAUCGGUUAUUUCGCAUAUUUAUGUUUGAGACUUUUCAUUUUACACUUGCCAUUGGAUUUACUAUUGACUAGAUAUCGAAGUUGAAAGAUUUUCUAGUACCUUAAAUACAACGUUUUCAUAUUUGUUUUUUUUGUGAUUUAUUACUUUUAAGACUUGCAAGGUAUAAAAACAAAAUCUCUCAGUUUAA